rnacentral:lncRNA from 1 species
GUUGUGGAGACUGUUUAAAUUUUCCUUUUCUCUUUUUUUCUUCCACCUCUUUCAGUACACUCAUCUAGAAAACUGGAAAUAAGAAUGAGGGACAAAGGAAGAUGGAGGUAGAUAGUGAGCGGAGUGGUGGCUGAGAUUGGGAAUAUUCCAUAGAAUGUCCUUAAUGAAAAGAACUACCAGAAAUGAGACUUCCUUCUCCAAGAGAAAAAUGGAGUGGCCCCCUAAGAAAAAAGGGGAUGAGUCUGAGCUCUAAGGAAAGGGAAGGCAGAGGGAGGAAAGGAGAGAUCAUCCUUGGGUUCCCUAUAACUCAAAACUUGUUCCUUUUGGUAGACUAAAUCACUACCAAUACCACCCUAAUGAUUCCAUUAAGUUUACUACACAAGAAGAACUUAUCAGUUGUUCUCUGGAGAGAAAAUAUUGCAUUUUAGUGCUGCUGUUAUUAAGGAAACCUACAGAAAGAUAUGAAAUCUUUUUUUUUUUCCUUUAACAGAAAACGUUUGUAGUCAAACCAAUUUGUUAUGGAAACCCACUACAAAGACUUUAAUCUGCAAAGCCCUCCCCAUGACAUGUAAAUUUCAUUUUAUAAAAGCUGUUACUUCAGAAGCCAAACACUUGAGAAAGAAACCCCCUAUGUUGGCCAUCAUGCGCUGGUCCUUCAGACACUCCAUCAUCAUGUUAGCAGGCUUGGGCCUCCUGUGGUUUUUCAUCAAUUUGGGAACCUCAAAGAUGAAUGAAAACAUCUAUCUGCUGAGAUCUUAA